UGGUCAAAUACUGUUCUUUUUCCAUAUGAUACCUAUGACUGCGCACCCCCUCAGCCAAUCCUGGGUAUGCACCUGAUACUUGUCCAAUAGAAGUGAUAGAAAAAUGAUUGAAAUAAGCUCAUUUUACAUCAAAUAAGAUGGGGAAUUCCAAGUAUUCCAGGUGACUUUUUUUAAGGUCAUUGUAAUUUGUAAACUUCCAUUUCAUGGCUUAUGGAUAGUAUGAGAAUAUAAUCACAAAAAUGUUGGAGGUGUAUUUCGGCCUCAGGAAAUUAGUUUGGAAUGCAUUAAAAACCAUUAAAACCAUGGCCCUUUUGGUUUCUCUUCACAGUGCACAUGUGCACAGUUUUUCCGCCAUGUCUAUCCAAUAUGAAUCAUGACCCAGCAUCUUUCUAUUAAAUAGUUAAUUCCCUUGUGAUGUUUUUGUUGAAUAGUUAUUGCCGAAGACAUGAGUCCUUAUCAAAGUUCUAUGCUCCACCAUCAUCAAUAUUAUUGUUAGUACUUAAAUUUUUAAAACUUAGAUAUCUCUCAAAUAAGUAAUGAGAAGCUUUCACACUUGAUGAGGUGGUUACUUUAGUGUCUUUCGCUAUAUAUUCAUUGGAGUCCCUGUGUUGUUACCAUUAUUUUUUUUUUAUUUUCUGUAAAAAAUAAUAUAAAAAAACUUGAUAAAAGAUUUGACUGCCUUUGACAUCAUCAUCAUCAUAGUUGUUUCCACAUUCCAAUGAAACACAUUAGCUUUUUACGAAGUCCAUUGUUCUGGUUUGUAUUGAGAAAACUAUUUCUAGUUGACUGUUAAAUUUUUUUUCUCAGAAUUAUGAAAACAUUUUAUACAGUGAACAAUUUAAAAUAAUAAAUGAUCAUACAAACAUAAAAUUUCAUUACUUAAACAUGACUAUACUAUGCUCUGUAUUUUGAGUGAGUUAUGGGACAUGUGUAGGUUCAAGAAGGGCCCAUGUCAGAAGGAGGUAUUUCAAGAUCAUCAUCAAUAGGUUGUUCAAUUGGAAAAAAACUCUACUUUGUUAUCAUUAUUUAGGCUUUUUUUACCUACGGUUGUCUUAACCAGGGUUCCAAACAUUUUUUUUUUAAUCUGCCAGAUUUUGCCGGCUUUGUGGAUUUUGGUGGAAAAAAGCUUGCAUACUCAAAA